rnacentral:rRNA from 1 species
GCUGGCGACAAUAGCAAGAGUGAACCACCUGAUCCCUUCCCGAACUCAGAAGUGAAACCUCUUC